GGGGCUAUAGCUCAGUUGGGAGAGCAUCUGACUGGCAGUCAGAAGGUCGGCGGUUCGAACCCGCCUAGCUCCA
rnacentral:tRNA from 1 species